CCUACGGGAUGCAGCAGUGAGGAAUAUUGGUCAAUGGGCGCGAGCCUGAACCAGCCAAGUAGCGUGAAGGAUGACUGCCCUACGGGUUGUAAACUUCUUUUAUAAAGGAAUAAAGUGAGGCACGUGUGCCUUUUUGUAUGUACUUUAUGAAUAAGGAUCGGCUAACUCCGUGCCAGCAGCCGCGGUAAUACGGAGGAUCCGAGCGUUAUCCGGAUUUAUUGGGUUUAAAGGGAGCGUAGAUGGGUUGUUAAGUCAGUUGUGAAAGUUUGCGGCUCAACCGUAAAAGUGCAAUUGAUACUGGCAGCCUUGAGUACAGUUGAGGUAGGCGGAAUUCGUGGUGUAGCGGUGAAAUGCUUAGAUAUCACGAAGAACUCCGAUUGCGAAGGCAGCUUACUAAACUGCCACUGACGCUGAGGCUCGAAGGUGCGGGUACCAAACAGGAUUAGAUACCCUAGUAGUC
rnacentral:rRNA from 1 species